GACUCAGCGCUGCGGUGCACGACGGGACGUGCAACGCUGAUCAGCAUUCCAACGUACCACAGCUCUCUCCCCGCUCUUCUCAUUAGACUACAGCGACCGGAAGGCAACACGCUCGGAGCGACAAGCGAAAGGAAUAUCGAUCACCCAGGCUGGCCGCUUCUUGCCACUGUCUGCACGCCGUGGCCUCUGCUCUAUGGGUGCGCAUCUAGCUGUUCUUGUGCCUUGACGCAGCCGGACCUUUUCCGUGGACACUGAAGCGGAAGGAGAACGCGUCGGUGGAGCACCUCGAACACGGAAUCCUGCGCGCUUUCUUCUUGCGUGUCUGGUGGGCGACGCACCGCCAUCGCACCUCCGCGCAAUCGUUUUCUCCCUGCCUUCAUCUCGUCUCUUUCAAGAUGGCCAACGACACAGAGCAAGCGCAGUCGCCGUCUGCUGAGCUGGCGGCGGCGGCACCGGAGCAGCAGCCACGCCAGGCGCUGGAGUUUUAUCCCCUGCGUGAUGAGUCGCGCAACGCCAUGGACCAGGAAAAGUACGGUCGCGCACGCACCCACAUCGCCGGUCUGGGCCACGUUUCGGCCAAGGACGUGUUCAAAGACUAUCGUCGCUCCUGGCUCACGCCAUUUUUCGGCUCCAACGAGCCGGAGCCGACCUUCCAGCAGGAAGGAACCCAACACCCAUGCCAAAUCUUUUCUCGCGAGGUGCACCGAUGCUUGGAAGAUCACCACAACAGCUUUGCCUUCUGCCAAACGCGCGUUGCGGCGUUUCAGCAGUGCUUGCGUGAGUUCUCCAUGUGAGCCUGUGACGUGCGUAUGUCUGUGUGGCUGCGACUCUCAUUAUCGUUGCCGACUCUUGCCCUCUCUGUGUGCGUGUGCGUGCUUUCUCGACUAGGUGGCGCUGCUUGCAGUCUAUACCUCGCGUUUGCCUGAGUGUGCGGCCGAAUCCGCGAGGAGUUGAUGGGAGGGGAGGAGGGCUGGGGCGGGGGCAACGCGGACGGUAUAUCGCUCGACCAUGUUUUGCCUCUUCUCUCUCGGCUGUGGUCAUACCCAGGAAGAUCACGGCGAGGCAGGUACCGGGCCCCAUCCAUGCUCAUGCGUGUGCGCCGACACGCCAUCGCAGAGACAGCGACACACGCGGCAGAAGGCACGACUUUGUAACUUGGGAGGCGACGAAGCGAGGGAAGGGAAGGGGGGUUCACUUCUCGUACUAGCCUUAGUAGACGUAUUCGGGAGGAGGCCUCUCCCUCUGUCGGCGAGCUUUUUCGUCCCUCUCCCCGCCUCUCCCAAACAUAUGUAGCAUCGUAGUUGGGCUCCUGCCCCUUUCGAUUUCUCUUUAUUUUCAUGCUCUCUUUUUCCGUUUGUGUGCUGGCUCUGCGCAUGACGGGCGCUGAGUCGGUGCGCCUCGUCUUGCUCGUGUGCUUUUCCUUCUGUUUUCUGUGCCGCUGUGGUGUCUGCUCAGUGGGGUGUGCCCGCAUGCAUGCGCGUCUGCGUGUGCGCCUCCUGCUCUGCCUUUUGUCACUCUCACGAAGGCGUGGGGGAGGCAGGCUUGCCCGGAAACGGUUCCGUGAAGGGAGGUGGUGGCGAAGGGAAGAGGGUCGGGCUCUCUCCGUUCAUCGCUGCGUCUCUCGCUGUUUCGAACCCCCCUCUCUCUUUAUCGCCUCUGACGUCUCUCUUCCUGUUCGUCGUGCGCGCGUAUCGGACGCUUUUCGCGAUGGCGUGCCGUCGUCGUGUUCGCCGUCUUUCUUUUCUCCAUUUGGUUCUUUUUCGUGGCGCUGUGUGCGUGGUGGUGACUGAACUUCUCUGCCGCG
rnacentral:misc_RNA from 1 species